AAAGAUUUAGGAUAAUAAAACCGAGAGCCUUCAAAGCUUUAAAUAGAAACCACAUAUUUCUAAUCUUUG
rnacentral:tRNA from 1 species